GACGAACGCUGGCGGCGCGCUUAACACAUGCAAGUCGAGCGGUAAGGCCCUUUCGGGGGUACACGAGCGGCGAACGGGUGAGUAACACGUGGGUGACCUGCCCUCAGCUCUGGGAUAAGCCUGGGAAACUGGGUCUAAUACCGGAUAUGACUCCAUGACGCAUGUUGUGGGGUGGAAAGCCUUGUGCGGCUGAGGAUGGGCCCGCGGCCUAUCAGCUUGUUGGUGGGGUGAGGCCUACCAAGGCGACGACGGGUAGCCGGCCUGAGAGGGCGACCGGCCACACUGGGACUGAGACACGGCCCAGACUCCUACGGGAGGCAGCAGUGGGGAAUCUUGCGCAAUGGGCGAAAGCCUGACGCAGCGACGCCGCGUGAGGGAUGACGGCC
rnacentral:rRNA from 1 species